rnacentral:rRNA from 1 species
GGUUAAGCGACUAAGCGUACACGGUGGAUGCCUAGGCAAUCAGAGGCGAUGAAGGACGUGCUAAUCUGCGAUAAGCGUCGGUAAGGUGAUAUGAACCGUUAUACCCGACGAUUUCCGAAUGGGGAAACCCAGUGCAAUUCGUUGCACUAUCGUUUGAUGAAUACAUAGUCAAACGAAGCGAACCGGGGGAACUGAAACAUCUCAGUACCCCGAGGAAAAGAAAUCAACCGAGAUUCCCCUAGUAGCGGCGAGCGAACGGGGAGCAGCCCAGAGUCUUAAUCAGCAUUAGUAUCAGGAGAACGGUCUGGAAAGUCCGGCAGUAAAGGGUGAUAGCCCCGUAUCUGAAGAUAUUAGUGUUGUGAACUCGACGAGUAGGGCGGGACACGUGUUAUCCUGUCUGAAUAUGGGGGGACCAUCCUCCAAGGCUAAAUACUCCUGAUUGACCGAUAGUGAACCAGUACCGUGAGGGAAAGGCGAAAAGAACCCCGGCGAGGGGAGUGAAAUAGAACCUGAAACCGUGUACGUACAAGCAGUGGGAGCCUUGAUUUAUCAGGGUGACUGCGUACCUUUUGUAUAAUGGGUCAGCGACUUAUAUUCUGUAGCAAGGUUAACCGUAUAGGGGAGCCGUAGGGAAACCGAGUCUUAACUGGGCGAAUGAGUUGCAGGGUAUAGACCCGAAACCCGGUGAUCUAGCCAUGGGCAGGUUGAAGGUUGGGUAACACUAACUGGAGGACCGAACCGACUAAUGUUGAAAAAUUAGCGGAUGACUUGUGGCUGGGGGUGAAAGGCCAAUCAAACCGGGAGAUAGCUGGUUCUCCCCGAAAGCUAUUUAGGUAGCGCCUCGUGAACUCAUCUUCGGGGGUAGAGCACUGUUUCGACUAGGGGGUCAUCCCGACUUACCAACUCGAUGCAAACUACGAAUACCGAAGAAUGUUAUCACGGGAGACACACGGCGGGUGCUAACGUUCGUCGUGAAGAGGGAAACAACCCAGACCGCCAGCUAAGGUCCCAAAGUCAUAGUUAAGUGGGAAACGAAGUGGGAAGGCUCAGACAGCCAGGAUGUUGGCUUAGAAGCAGCCAUCAUUUAAAGAAAGCGUAAUAGCUCACUGGUCGAGUCGGCCUGCGCGGAAGAUGUAACGGGGCUAAACUAUGCACCGAAGCUGCGGCAGCGAUAUGUAAAUAUUGUUGGGUAGGGGAGCGUUCUGUAAGCCUGUGAAGGUGUACUGUGAGGUAUGCUGGAGGUAUCAGAAGUGCGAAUGCUGACAUAAGUAACGAUAAUGCGGGUGAAAAACCCGCACGCCGGAAGACCAAGGGUUCCUGUCCAACGUUAAUCGGGGCAGGGUGAGUCGACCCCUAAGGCGAGGCAGAAAUGCGUAGUCGAUGGGAAACGGGUUAAUAUUCCCGUACUGGUGAUAAUUGCGAUGGGGGGACGGAGAAGGCUAGGCUGGCCGGGCGACGGUUGUCCCGGUUUAAGGAUGUAGGCAGGUGAAUUAGGCAAAUCCGGUUCACUACAUGCUGAGGUCUGAUGACGAGUCACUACGGUGGCGAAGUAGCUCAUGCCCCGCUUCCAGGAAAAGCCUCUAAGCUCUAGAUUAUCAUUAAUCGUACCCCAAACCGACACAGGUGGUCAGGUAGAGAAUACUCAGGCGCUUGAGAGAACUCGGGUGAAGGAACUAGGCAAAAUGGUGCCGUAACUUCGGGAGAAGGCACGCUGGCGCUAGGUGAAGUGGUUUACCCAUGGAGCUGAAGCCAGUCGCAGAUACCAGCUGGCUGCAACUGUUUAUUAAAAACACAGCACUGUGCAAACACGAAAGUGGACGUAUACGGUGUGACGCCUGCCCGGUGCUGGAAGGUUAAUUGAUGGGGUUAUCCGUAAGGAGAAGCUCUUGAUCGAAGCCCCAGUAAACGGCGGCCGUAACUAUAACGGUCCUAAGGUAGCGAAAUUCCUUGUCGGGUAAGUUCCGACCUGCACGAAUGGCGUAAUGAUGGCCAGGCUGUCUCCACCCGAGACUCAGUGAAAUUGAACUCGCUGUGAAGAUGCAGUGUACCCGCGGCAAGACGGAAAGACCCCGUGAACCUUUACUAUAGCUUGACACUGAACAUUGAGCCUUGAUGUGUAGGAUAGGUGGGAGGCUUUGAAGUGUGGACGCCAGUCUGCAUGGAGCCAACCUUGAAAUACCACCCUUUAAUGUUUGAUGUUCUAACGUUGCCCCGUUAUCCGGGGUGCGGACAGUGUCUGGUGGGUAGUUUGACUGGGGCGGUCUCCUCCCAAAGAGUAACGGAGGAGCACGAAGGUUGGCUAAGCAUGGUCGGACAUCAUGCGGUUAGUGCAAAGGCAUAAGCCAGCUUGACUGCGAGAGUGACGGCUCGAGCAGGUACGAAAGUAGGUCUUAGUGAUCCGGUGGUUCUGAAUGGAAGGGCCAUCGCUCAACGGAUAAAAGGUACUCCGGGGAUAACAGGCUGAUACCGCCCAAGAGUUCAUAUCGACGGCGGUGUUUGGCACCUCGAUGUCGGCUCAUCACAUCCUGGGGCUGAAGUAGGUCCCAAGGGUACGGCUGUUCGCCGUUUAAAGUGGUACGCGAGCUGGGUUUAGAACGUCGUGAGACAGUUCGGUCCCUAUCUGCCGUGGGCGUUGGAAGAUUGAAAGGGGCUGCUCCUAGUACGAGAGGACCGGAGUGGACGCACCACUGGUGUUCGGGUUGUCAUGCCAAUGGCAUUGCCCGGUAGCUAAGUGCGGAAGAGAUAACCGCUGAAAGCAUCUAAGCGGGAAACUUGCCUUGAGAUGAGUCUUCCCUGACCCUUUAAGGGUCCUAAAGGAACGUUUAAGACUAAGACGUUGAUAGGUUGGGUGUGUAAGCAUAGCGAUAUGUUGAGCUAACCAAUACUAAUGAACCGUGAGGCUUAACCUG